rnacentral:rRNA from 1 species
CCUACGGGUGGCAGCAGUAGGGAAUAUUGCUCAAUGGGGGAAACCCUGAAGCAGCAAAGCCGCGUGGAGGAUGAAGGUUUUCGGAUUGGAAACUCCUUUUUUUAGAGAAGAUAAUGACGGUAUCUAAGGAAUAAGCACCGGCUAACUCCGUGCCAGCAGCCGCGGUAAUACGGAGGGUGCGAGCGUUACUCGGAAUCAAUGGGCGUAAAGAGCGCGUAUGCGGGAUAGCAAGUCAGAUGUGAAAUCCUAUGGCUUAACCAUAGAACUGCCUUUGAAACUGUCAUUCUAGAGUAGGCGAGAGGUAGGUGGAAUUCUUGGUGUAGGGGUAAAAUCCGUAGAGAUCGAGAGGAAUACUCAUUGCGAAGGCGACCUGCUAGCACAGAUCUGACGCUGAUGCGCGAAAGCGUGGGGAGCGAACAGGAUUAGAUACCCCUGUAGUC